rnacentral:lncRNA from 1 species
AGAAAACUGAUAUUAGCAAGGAAGUAGUGGCUGCCUCAAGUGAGAAGUUCAUCUCAUCAAUUUUGGAGAGGUAAGCCCCAGCCCUCAUUAUCUCACCUCUAUGCAACAGCCUCCUAACAAGAGAAUUUAGCAUACAUGAGUCUGGAGUGCAUCCACUCUUUUCCAUUGCUAAAAACAGAUUGUCAGACUCUUCUAGCAAUCCUUCUUUGAUGAGAUUUUGUAUCAUUAAGCGAUAGGUGACAACAUCUGGAACUAAACCAUGCGCAGAGAUAGUAAUGAACAUAUCCAUAGCAUCUUCCUUUCUGCUACUUUUGAGUAAAGCAUCAAUCAUAAUGUUGAAGGUAAUAAUGUGUAGUUGAAAACCCUUAGAACAUAAACUCUGAAAUAUUUUAAAUGCCUCAUCAACACAAUUAUUUUUGCAAAGACCAUCCAGAAUUAUGUUGUACGUGUAAAUGUCCAACUGUACUCCACUAUUGAUCAUAUUGGGAUAGAGUUCUUUUGCUUCAGAAAUUUUCCCAGACUGAAAUAAACCCUGAAGUACCAUGCUAUAAGUGACAAUUCCAGGCCUAACUUCAUUGCUUAACAUUUCUCUGAAUAGUCUAACUGCAUCAUCUAUCCUGCCAGCUCUACAAUAGCCAUGAAGCAAAGUAUUAUAAGAAAAGGCAUCUGGUUUCAAGCCAACUCGGACCAUAUCAUCAAGUAACUUCAUAGCUUCCUUCAUCCUACCAGCUAAGCAGUGGCCAUCCAUUAACGUAGUAUAUGAGAUAACAUCAGGUCUCACACCUACACACACCAUCAAGUCAAGGAGACUCUGGGCUUCCGUGACUCGUCCUUCUCUGCAAAGGUUACACAUUAUUGUGUUGAAGAACGAGGCAUUGGGAUGGAUCCCUUGAUUCAGCAUUUCAGAAAAUAAUUCAUUAGCCUUCUCCCAUUUGCCGACAGUGCACAGUCCAUAAACUAGUGAGUUAAAAAUAAUGAUAUUAGGAGUCACCCCUUCAUAGAUCAUCUGAUUAAAUUUGAGCAUAGCCUCGUCCACUCUUCCCGACUUGCAAAGUGCAUCUAUUAAUGCUCCAUAGUUUACUCCAUCAGGACUCAACCCUUGCUGCCUCAUUCGGUCAAAGAUAUGCAUUGCCUCAUUUAUCAUACCACCUUUACCAUACGCACAGAGAACUAUGUUAAAGGUACGAUGGUCAGGUGAAACACCAUUUUCUACCAUCAAAUCCAAGAGGCCAUGCAUGUCAGAAAGAGCUCCUUUGGUAGCAUAACCAUGAAGCAGAACACCAUAUGUAGUUACAUUAGGUUUUGUGCCCUUUUCAAUCAUAGAAUCAAAAAUCUUUCUAGCCUCUGUGCAUCUUCCACUCUUGCAAAGGUAAUCCAGCAGCAAAUUACAAGUGACAAUAUCUGGCUGAUAACCAUGUGCGGACAUUUCUUUGAGCAUUCGAACCACCUCUUUCCCCCGUCCUGAAGAGCAAUGUCCAUGGAUCAGACAAUUAUAUGUCUGAUUGUCUGGCUUAACGCCUUUAUGAACCAUCUGCCGAAGGACACCCUCGGCCCUAUCAACAGCUUGAGCUUUGCACAGGCCAUUGAUGACUGUGUUGUAGGUCACAACAGUCGGCAAAAUCCCCUGGUUAUCAAUUUCACGAAAUAGGUUGUAAGCUUUGUCUACCUGACCCUCUGUAAAUAAGCCAUUGAUGACAAUGUUGUACGCCACGACAUCUGGUGGGCAUCCACCACCUCCGUCAUCGGCCAUCAUGUGGAGCAGCUCAAGUGCCUCCUCACCUCUCUUUUCGUUGCAUAAACCCUUUAGAACUGUGCUGUAUGAAGCUGCACCUGGCGUGCAGCCAAACUCAGGCAUUCGUCGGAGCAAUAUGUCCAUAGCCUCAGACACGCACUUUCUGUCACAGAGACCUUUGAGUAGUUGACUGAUGACUAUGCCAUUCACCCUCCAGCCUGUCUUAAGGAUGAGGCCAAAGGCGGCGAAACCAAGCUCCAGGCGUCCCAUGCGGCAGAAGCAGUUGAUGAGGAUGCUGUAGGUGUGCAGGUCGGGAGCUACCUUGUUGGAGCAAGCACGGGCCAUCCGGUUGAAGAGGGAGGGGACGAGCUCCGAGGAGGAGGAGCCCCUGCCCUGGGCGCGAGAGACGGCGGUGAGGAGCUGAUUGAUGGCGAUCACCGAGGCCGGCCUAGCGUGGUGUAGCAAUUCACCGAACAGCUUGACGGCGUCGUCGAGGCAAAGGUUUCCCGAACGGACGCGGCCAGCGACAGCGCGCUCCAGCUCCAAGCAUCGGUCGCGUGCGGCGCUCACGCGGCGGGACAUGCCGACGGGGCACGGCUAGCGGCCCGGAGAGGACACGAACGGGCGGCCCUGCAUCCGCCUCCGGGUCGGUGUGGCGGCUCGAUCGGUGGGGGCGGAGCAGCGCGUGCUGCGGCGUGGAGUGGGCGAGGGUUGGAAUUGGAAUGCUGCCGGCGGCGGCCGCGGUUUAUGCAUUGGUUUGCUGGGGCGGCGGGCAUCAGGUGCCGGCGGGCGCCCGGGCGGUGGCCGUCCGACGUAACGUGACGAACAGAGGCAGCGAGGAGGACGGCAAGACCGACUGCUGUGCCUCUGCCUUGGGCUGUUCUUUUUUUCCUAAAGAAAAUCCAUACAAAGUGGCCGCUUUCCUUGCCUGCUCAAAUUCCAGAGAGUCUUUUACCUUUGUGUCAUUAUAAAAGAUCCAAGUUACCUACAUAUCAUCGAAAUUUUAGAAAGUUCCUCAGCACCCUUGUUUGAAGUUUCUUUUACCAAUUUUACAUGUAACAGCAAUGAACGUGCAACGGAAAAGACGAUUUUGCCUUUAGUUGUAGAAGACUUCAAAUUUUUGGUUCUUACUCUAGUGCCACUGUACAUUCUCAUAGUUUGUAUGUGUGGACAUGUAAAUUCUGCCUCAGCAUAGCAUGAAAAUAUAAUAUUGCAAGAUAGCCAAAAAAAUUCAACAAUUGAGAUGAGACAACCAUAAUUAGCAUUUAAUUAAAUAGAAUCAGUCAUAAAAGAGGUCCAAAUAUAUCAUCGAUGUACAUAGUCAGCUUGAUUGCAAAGUCAAGUUUGCACAUAAAAGAUUGUCACAUUGACCUCAUUACUAGUCUAAACAUUGUUUGGUCAUGCAGACCUCAAGUACUACAAAAGCAUGUCAUACGGAUGCAAACUCAUCAAAGAUCAAGUGUUUUCUUGCUUCUAAUUUCUAUGGCCGGACUAGAAGGGGAACUAGGGACCCUGCUGCGGGUUGACAUGGCUGGACUAGUCUUGUUUGGAGUAAGUUUUGGCAUUUGUCUUCUUGUGAUGCUCCUGACGUGUGCUCUGGUCAGCCAUGUACUGCUCAUUUGACUCAUAAGGAUAUGUAAUCGCCAAAGGAUCUAGCUGAUUUGAACCUGUUGCAGACCCUCUAAUAAAGAAAACAUUAGUAAACCUAUUAAAGUAGUAAAAAUAUAAUUUUAAAAAAUUAUCUUACCUCACAGAGGGGUCACUAGCCUCAGCUGUUGAAGUAUUGGAAGUACUCUUUUGUUUCUUCGCACCAGUUGAUGAGGAUGAUUUGUUCUUCCUUUUCUUUGAUAGAUCCGCAAUAGUAAGUAGAACUGGAAAGACCAUCC